rnacentral:rRNA from 1 species
AGAGUUUGAUCUUGGCUCAGAACGAACGCUGGCGGCAGGCCUAACACAUGCAAGUCGAACGCUCCGCAAGGGGAGUGGCAGACGGGUGAGUAACACGUGGGAAUCUACCUAGUGGUACGGAACAACCAAGAGAAAUUUUGGCUAAUACCGUAUACGCCCUUAGGGGGAAAGAUUUAUCGCCAUUAGAUGAGCCCGCGUCGGAUUAGGUAGUUGGUGAGGUAAUGGCUCACCAAGCCUACGAUCCGUAGCUGGUCUGAGAGGAUGAUCAGCCACAUUGGGACUGAGACACGGCCCAAACUCCUACGGGAGGCAGCAGUGGGGAAUAUUGGACAAUGGGCGAAAGCCUGAUCCAGCCAUGCCGCGUGAGUGAUGAAGGCCCUAGGGUUGUAAAGCUCUUUCGGCGGGGAAGAUAAUGACUGUACCCGCAGAAGAAGCCCCGGCUAACUUCGUGCCAGCCGCCGCAGUAAU